rnacentral:rRNA from 1 species
UCCUACGGGAGGCAGCAGUGGGGAAUAUUGCGCAAUGGGCGGAAGCCUGACGCAGCGACGCCGCGUGGGGGAUGACGGCCUUCGGGUUGUAAACCUCUUUCGACAGGGACGAAGGGUGACUGACGGUACCUGUAGAAGAAGCACCGGCCAACUACGUGCCAGCAGCCGCGGUAAUACGUAGGGUGCCAGCGUUGUCCGGAAUUAUUGGGCGUAAAGAGCUCGUAGGCGGUGUGUCACGUCGGUCGUGAAAACUUUCAGGCUUAACUGGGAGCUUGCCGUCGAUACGGGCAUCACUGGAGUUCGGCAGGGGAGACUGGAAUUCAAGGUGUAGCGGUGAAAUGCGCAGAUAUCUUGAGGAACACCGGUGGCGAAGGCGGGUCUCUGGGCCGAUACUGACGCUGAGGAGCGAAAGCG